rnacentral:lncRNA from 1 species
CUAUAUGCAUACUAAUGUCAUAGCAUGAAUGACUUAUAUAUGUCAAAUUUAAUCUUCCAACACUAUUCUAUACAAAGAGAACACACAUUUAUCAAACUGGUUUAAUGUUACAGUAUAUAACAUAAUUCCAAUAAAUUUUAAUUUUAUUUCAUAUUUGAUACUAUUUCUUAAAUUUACCUUUAAAUUAUUAUCAUUUUUAUAAAUAACUUAAAUUUAUUAUUAAAAAACAAAAUUAACCCUCCCAAAAUAUUUAUAAAUAUAUAAGAAUUAUUUACAGAAUCUUAUAAACUGAACUUCACCACCUAAAUAAUAAAUCAUAAACAAGAAUCGU